rnacentral:rRNA from 1 species
UACCAGCUCUCCGAGUUGUGGGGAUUUUUAUUGGGCCUGAAGCAUCCGUAGCUGGCUGGGCAAGUCCUCUGUUAAACCCAGCGACUAAUCGUUGGCUUGCGGAGGAUACUGUCCGGCUAGGGGGCGGGAGAGGCCGUCGGUAUUCUCGGGGUAGGGGUGAAAUCCUAUAAUCCCGGGAGGACCACCAGUGGCGAAGGCUGUCGGCUAGAACGCGCCCGACGGUGAGGGAUGAAAGCUGGGGGAGCGAACCGGAUUAGAUACCCGGGUAGUCCCAGCUGUAAACGAUGCAGGCUAGGUGUUAGGGCGGCUACGUGCCGCUCUAGUGCCGCAGGGAAGCUGUUAAGCCUGCCGCCUGGGGAGUACGGCCGCAAGGCUGAAACUUAAAGGAAUUGGCGGGGGAGCACCACAAGGGGUGAAGCUUGCGGUUUAAUUGGAGUCAACGCCGGAAAUCUCACCGGGGGCGACAGCAGAAUGAAGGCCAGAUUAAAGGUCUUGCCAGACGAGCUGAGAGGAGGUGCAUGGCCGUCGCCAGUUCGUGCCGUGAGGUGUCCUGUUAAGUCAGGCAACGAUCGAGACCCGCAUCCCCCGUUGCUACCAGCCUUGAGCUGGGCACACUGGGGAGACCGCCGCCGAUAAGGCGGAGGAAGGAGCGGGCCACGGCAGGUCAGUAUGCCCCGAAUCUCCCGGGCCACACGCGAGCUGCAAUGGCAGGUACAAUGGGUUCCAACCUCGAAAGGGGAAGGAAAUCUCUAAAGCCUGCCGUAGUUGGGAUCGAGGGUUGAAACCCACCCUCGUGAACAUGGAAUCCCUAGUAAUCGCGCGUCACUAGCGCGCGGUGAAUACGUCCCUGCUCCU